CAGCCCCGACGAAGACGUUUUCACAGCCUUUAAAUUUAACUUAAUGCUACAGGUAACAGUUACGUUAGUUACCGGUAGCAGCUAACGUUAGACAGGAGAAGAUUUAUUUUUUUUUUUUUCACCCGUUGCGUCUGGCGGAGUUUCCAUUUUGGAAUCGCGGAUCCUUCACCAACUGCUUGGGACUUGCAGAAAACCAGAGACUACCACUCCCGCAGACGCAGAGGCCCAGCUGUCUCUCCCAUCAUCAUGCUCGGUUUUCAGUCAGGAUUAAUCCUGACUCCAACAAGAUGCACUGCCAAGGAGCAGAUGAGCAAGACGACUGGGAGAGUGGUGAAGCGGAAGACUUUAUACAUGAACCCCCAUGUAAUCUCCUUCAUCAGGGACUUCACAGAGUUCUAUUUGCUAACUGGCUAGAAACAGGGCUCCAACUAGGAUUCUAGGUUUCCAAGGUCAGAGCAUGCAAGAGGCCAUAGAUCUUUGACAAGUGGCAGGGGAAGUUUAUUUUCCUUUCCGUUUUUAAAUGUUCAUGAAAUGUUAAAUAUUAAAUUUUUUUUAUUGUUGAAUGUUUUAUUUUAUUUUAAUAUUGCCAUAGUGUUAUUUAUUGCUCUUUAGAAUGUGGUAAUAAUCUGUUAUUUGCACGGCUUUAAAGUAGUUCAAUUUCUUUGCCGUAUUGUUUCAAUUUGUAUUAUUGUUGCGUCAUA